CAGGUGUUAGAUAAGACUGUCACCGUAAAACCUUCCAGACUGCAAGUUCAGCAUGUUGUGGCUCACAAUCAGGUCAUCAGCCAAAAAAAACCUCUGACUGGACAUCAGAGCUCCACCUCUACAUGAGAAAACGCUUCAACAGUGUCAGUCCACAGAGACAGAAGAACCGAACGCAAUGAGUCAAAAAAUCAUCGCCUUUAUCGUCUUGGCUCUGCUCCUCAUUGCAUGUGAGGUUGAAGGGCUUGUACAUUGCAGGGUGUUCGGUGGAUUCUGCAAACUUCCUGGGACAUGUAGCGGGGGGGGGCACCUGAAUGCAGCAUGUCCUUAUGGAUUAUUUUGCUGUUCUUACCCUGAUGAAAGGACCAUGGAACAAUAUCUACAUCAAUAAAGACUAACCUGAGCUGUCACAGGCGAGCUCCCUACA